AAAAGGGGGAGCAGGGGAGCAGGAGGGCACUACUGCGAGGCAGGGGGCAACUGCAAGGGGGGUGCAUGGGUCAAGGGGUGCGGUGCAAAGCGGGGUGCAGUGCGAAGGGUGGGGCAGGGAAACGAGGGGGUGCUAGAGCAAGGUGGAGUGCGGUGCAGGGCGGGGUUCAGCUGAAAAGGGUGCACGGAGGAGAAGUGUGCGGCGGGCACGGGUGCAAGCCUCAGAGCUUCCAGCGUGAUGGUGCUUGGGGAAAGCUGCAGGAAAUGCCGACGUUCGUCCUCUGGCAGACCUGGGUGGGAAGAGGGAGCACGCCGUGUUGCUGGUGGAAAUGAUCAACGACAAAUGUGACCCAUCAAUUAACGUGAAUCACGAGUCUGAGCAGGAACCAGCUAGAAACAGUUCUGAGAAGCUAAAACCAGUACGAUGUUCCCUUGAAAUAACUGGGUCAGAUUCGUCCACCUCCUCACGCCUAGAUCAAUCAACAGUCAUGGUGGGCUGGCACGAACCAUCUAGUAUCUCACUAUUGUACCUCUGCCAGUGGGGGAUGCAGCAUCAAAUUAACUUCUUGCUGCUUUGGUAGUGUGCUUGCACUUGCCUGGCUGAAUAACGCUGGCUGGACAGAGGCCUUUCAACCUAUUGAACAGGCUGGUGCUCUGGAAAUGACUUAAGUUGGUGCAAAUCCUUGCCAAAGGGGAGAGAUAUUCCCGCUUCCUCCUGAUUGGGACACAAAGACUUGGAGACAUUCAAUUAAAUCUGCGUACCGUAGUUAAUGAAUCGUCUCUGCAGUGCUCUGAUAGUGGCAAAUAACCCCAUCAGGGCCUGGGGGCUGAGCUGCGUUGGUGCUUUUUUCAGCUAUUCCUAGCUCGUGUGCCAUGAGAGGAGUCCAGUUACCUGCAGCUUUUUAUGGCCCAGCUGAGACGCCCGCUUGAGAGUCUUGGAACUUGCACCACCCUUGCACUGGGAGGGAGCGUAACAAGGCUUGAGCUGCUUGGCCUGCAAAGGGAGAGCAAAACUACUGCAUGAAUGGGCACCUGGAGCUUUAAAAAUGUCCAAUCAAGCAAAUUGCAUAAGUUAUAAUACACCAGAGCUUAUCCUAUUGUAUCCUGGAGAGCAAAAUCACACACUGUGGAUACAGCUCCUCCGCAUUUAACUUCAUAAUUGUCUUCCUUGGAAAGACAAGUGUGUCCCUGGAAAUACUUUGCACCUCUUUCCUUCAGGCAGCUGUGUAGCUGGGCACCUGCACUGACCCAAGUUCCUCCAGGCCACAGAAGCACGCAAUUUCACAACCAGCACCCACUAAUACAGUACCCAGCAAAUGCCCAGAGCUGUGUUUACAUCUAAGUCGUGCAGGAUUCAGUCCUCAUAUUGAGGAAAAUCUGCAGCAAGACUUUGCUCUUCCAUGGUAGCUUUGACCAGAGCGUCUGAAUAUUUUCCAGUAGACAUUAAUCAUCAAAAGGUAAACAUCUUUUACAUUGCCCAGGGAGGCAAACCCAGCCAGACACACAAGAGAAGGGAACUGUUUUCUGUAGAUUUGCUCAAAGAAACCAGGAAUGCAAACCUUGCUGUACAUACUGGCUGCAGUCCACGCUGGCUACAUGAAUAUUUUUAUACAUGUAUAGUCUAUUUCUAUAUUAGACACAGCUGUUGCUUUCUCAUCCUCUGUGUAUUUAUUUGAAAAAGAUGAACUCGGCACAACUACCUCUCGGUUUAUACUUUGCUGCUGUUCCCCCAUCCCUGCUUCCAACUCACAAUUGGCUGGGCAAAGUGGAUGCAGGUCAGGCUUUCUGUCAAAUGAUUUUCUUUUUCUCUGGUCUGCUCCAAUAAACAACACAGUUAAGUGGAAAGUAAAGGAUGCAUGCCACUAAAUUUUAUUUCAGCUGCUCUAGUUGAACCAUUUCUGCCUGCAAAAAAAUCUGGUCCAGCUCCAGCACUCACUGCCCUGUGUCUGCAAGACAAACCAUGUUGCUUCUCUCUCACGGAGCAAGGUCUACACCUACAAACUUGUGUACAUGUGUGCUGUGACUUCCUCACUAUGUCAUGGUGUGGAAAACUUAACUUUCUCAUGAAUUUUCUACAUUUUUACACUAUUUUUUGUAUGUUUGCAUGCAUAUGUGUAGCAUAAAUUGAUGACAGGAGACGCGUAUUUACUGACAGCAUUAAGUAAUGCCUCCUGUCUGACUUAAAUUAUUUUCCCUCGUGU